AAUUCUUUUUGAAAGCUGCCUGCGGCAAAGGGGGCAUGUGUCCAUUUCGCCACAUCAGCGGUGAGAAGACAGUUGUGUGCAAACACUGGCUGCGUGGCCUAUGCAAGAAAGGGGACCAGUGUGAGUUCCUGCAUGAGUAUGACAUGACCAAGAUGCCCGAGUGCUACUUCUACUCCAAGUUCGGGGAGUGCAGCAACAAGGAAUGUCCCUUCCUGCACAUCGACCCCGAGUCCAAGAUCAAGGACUGUCCUUGGUAUGACCGCGGCUUCUGCAAGCAUGGUCCCCUCUGCAGGCACCGGCACACACGGAGAGUCAUCUGUGUGAAUUACCUCGUGGGAUUCUGCCCGGAGGGGCCCUCAUGUAAAUUCAUGCACCCUCGAUUUGAACUGCCCAUGGGAACCACCGAGCAGCCCCCACUGCCGCAGCAGACACAGCCUCCAGCAAAGGCUGCUAAACAUCUGGCUGAACCAAGCGUUCAUCCUGACCUGAAGCCAGAACCUCAGAAACCAAACAAAGUAACAAUCCGCCAUUACAAAGGUCGUCCUCCUUGAUCCAGUUAACGAGUCAGA
rnacentral:sRNA from 1 species